CGGGGAAUAUUGCGCAAUGGGCGAAAGCCUGACGCAGCGACGCCGCGUGAGGGAUGAAGGUCUUCGGAUCGUAAACCUCUGUCAGGAGGGAAGAACCGCCACGGUGCUAAUCAGCCGUGGUCUGACGGUACCUCCAAAGGAAGCACCGGCUAACUCCGUGCCAGCAGCCGCGGUAAUACGGAGGGUGCGAGCGUUAAUCGGAAUCACUGGGCGUAAAGCGCACGUAGGCUGCUUGGUAAGUCAGGGGUGAAAGCCCGCGGCUCAACCGCGGAAUUGCCUUUGAUACUGCCGAGCUUGAGUCCGGGAGAGGGUAGUGGAAUUCCAGGUGUAGGAGUGAAAUCCGUAGAUAUCUGGAGGAACAUCAGUGGCGAAGGCGACUACCUGGACCGGUACUGACGCUGAGGUGCGAAAGCGUGGGGAGCAAACAG
rnacentral:rRNA from 1 species